UUCCCUGCAUUAAAGUCUCAGGCCACUAGGAGCGCCGCCUCUGGGUGAGUGGUUUCCUGUUUGCUUAUUUCCUUAAUACAGCUCACUGAGUGUGGUCUUAUUGCCAGCAUCUGUCUGUGGUGGUAAAUAAACAGCCACGAAAAGUAUAGCUGAGAAUUCUCUAGGCAAGUAGUUUGGCCUGCAAUUUAUCACAAUAUAAUCCGCUUCAGGCGAGAGACUUCCUUAGAUUUCGUGCACCAGCUGUUUACAAAUAUGCACAGACCGCCCCCACUUGUCUUAUCGGAGUGUGCUGUUCGAUCUUGCCAGUCCAGCGUGUAUCCCGCUAGCUGAAUAUCCAUGUCGUCAUUCAGCCACGAUUACGUGAAACAUAGGAUAUUACCGUUUUUGAUGUCCCGUUAGUAGGAUAUUCGUGAUCGUACCUCGUCUAAUUUAUUGUCCAAUGAUUGCGCGUUGGCGUGUAGUAUUGACGGUAAAGGCAGCUUUCCCAGUCGCCUUCGCCAGGUCCUGACUAGGCAUCCGGCUCUUUGUCCUCUGUACCUGUGUCGCUUCCUCAUGCAAAUAAUGGGGAUGCCGGUCCUGUGGGGUGUUUGGAGAAUGUCUUGUGCGUCGUCUUUGUUAUAGAAAAAAUCAUCGUCUAAUCCGAGUACAUGUUCAGUGGUGGAAGAGACCCUCUGGAGUUGCUGCAGUGUGUCUGGGGCUGCUGUGUGUUCUCCUACUGGCUGGGAUCAUAGGCCUGUCUGUCUACUAUGGAGUCAUUGAUCAUCACGACUCAACAGAGAGAGACCAGCAACAGGACAGCAACAGCCUUCUGACUAAGGAGAGAGACCAGCUACAGACCAGUUACAACAACCUGACUAAAGAGAGAGGCAAAGCUUUUUGUGAUAGGUGAGAUAUAAACUGUUAGAAGUAAAAUCAACAGUAAUUAUAUAUCAAUGGGUUUAUGAAGAUACUGGCUAUGUGUCACGUCCUGACCAGUUUAAGGGGUUAUUUGUUAUUGUAGUUUGGUCAGGGCGUGGCAGGGUGUGUUUGGUUUGUGUUGUUGGGAUUUUGGGGUUAGUUGUAUGGUCUUUAUAUUUUUACGUUCCCUUCUAGGAGUUGUAUUUCUUUGUUUUGGCCUGGUAUGGCUCUCAAUCAGGGACAGCUGUACAUCGUUGUCACUGAUUGGGAGUCAUACUUAGGUAGCCCUUUUUCCACCUGUCUUUGUGGGAAGUUGUUUUUGCACUGCUGUGUGUAGCCUGCAAGACUGUCGUGCGGUUUUUUUUCAAUAAAAGUUAAGAUGAGCAGUCAACCCGCUGCAUUUUGGUCCAAUCACUACGAUGGCCGUUACACUAUGUUUCUCAAUGUGUACACCUUUGCUCUACAACAGAGCAGCAUUUUCAAAAGGGAUGGAGAAACUUUGACUACAGUUUGUACUUCCUCUCUACUGAGAAGAGAACCUGGGAGGCGAGAGAAGCAGUGCUGGUGAUCAUAAACCACAGAGAGGAACAGGAGCGAGAGAGAGGGGGGGAGAGAAAGCGGGAGGGGUGA